UUGACCUCAGAUCAGGCGGGACUACCCGCUGAACUUAAGCAUAUCAAUAAGCGGAGGAAAAGAAACUAACAAGGAUUCCCCUAGUAACUGCGAGUGAAGCGGGAAAAGCUCAAAUUUGUAAUCUGGCGGUCUUCGGCCGUCCGAGUUGUAAUCUAGAGAAGCGUCUUCCGCGCCGGACCGUGUACAAGUCUCCUGGAACGGAGCGUCGUAGAGGGUGAGAAUCCCGUCUUUGACACGGACUGCCGGUGCUCUGCGAUGCGCUCUCGAAGAGUCGAGUUGUUUGGGAAUGCAGCUCAAAAUGGGUGGUGAAUUCCAUCUAAAGCUAAAUAUUGGCGAGAGACCGAUAGCGAACAAGUACCGUGAGGGAAAGAUGAAAAGCACUUUGGAAAGAGAGUUAAACAGUACGUGAAAUUGUUGAAAGGGAAACGCUUGAAGUCAGUCGCGUCCGCCGAGACUCAGCCUCGCCUUCCGGCCUGGUGUACUUCUCGGUGGACGGGCCAGCAUCAAUUUCGAUCGUCGGACAAGGGCGGGGGGAAGGUGGCACCUUCGGGUGUGUUAUAGCCCCCCGUCGCAUACGGCGGUCGGGAUUGAGGAACUCAGCACGCCUUUACGGUCGGGGUUCGCCCACGUUCGUGCUUAGGAUGCUGGCGUAAUGGCUCUAAGCGACCCGUCUUGAAACACGGACCAAGGAGUCUAACAUGCCCGCGAGUGUUCGGGUGGAAAACCCGUGCGCGCAAUGAAAGUGAUAGUUGGGACCUCCGUCGUGGAGGGCACCGACGCCCGGACCUGAGCUUCUGCGACGGAUCUGCGGUAGAGCGUGUAUGUUGGGACCCGAAAGAUGGUGAACUAUGCCUGAAUAGGGUGAAGCCAGAGGAAACUCUGGUGGAGGCUCGUAGCGAUUCUGACGUGCAAAUCGAUCGUCAAAUUUGG
rnacentral:rRNA from 1 species